UUAACUCAUAUUUCUAUGCAGUUGGAACAGCGCCCCUAGCGGCAAACGCAGGCAAACAUUUCAACUCCAUACAAAUUUUAGUUA
rnacentral:pre_miRNA from 1 species